rnacentral:rRNA from 1 species
ACGCUCGACACCUACGAGAGGCAGCAGUCGGGAAUAUUGCGCAAUGGAGGAAACUCUGACGCAGUGACGCCGCGUAUAGGAAGAAGGUUUUCGGAUUGUAAACUAUUGUCGUUAGGGAAGAGAAAGGACAGUACCUAAGGAGGAAGCUCCGGCUAACUACGUGCCAGCAGCCGCGGUAAUCUGAGCGGGCUGGCAAGGC